UGGGGAAUUUUGGACAAUGGGCGAAAGCCUGAUCCGGCAAUGCCGCGUGUGUGAAGAAGGCCUUCGGGUUGUAAAGCACUUUUGUCCGGAAAGAAAUCCUUGGCUCUAAUACAGUCGGGGGAUGACGGUACCGGAAGAAUAAGCACCGGCUAACUACGUGCCAGCAGCCGCGGUAAUACGUAGGGUGCAAGCGUUAAUCGGAAUUACUGGGCGUAAAGCGUGCGCAGGCGGUUUGCUAAGACCGAUGUGAAAUCCCCGGGCUCAACCUGGGAACUGCAUUGGUGACUGGCAGGCUAGAGUAUGGCAGAGGGGGGUAGAAUUCCACGUGUAGCAGUGAAAUGCGUAGAGAUGUGGAGGAAUACCGAUGGCGAAGGCAGCCCCCUGGGCCAAUACUGACGCUCAUGCACGAAAGCGUGGGGAGCAAACAGGAUUAGAUACCCUGGUAGUCCACGCCCUAAAACGAUGUCAACUAGUUGUUGGGGGAUUCAUUUCCUUAGUAACGUAGCUAACGCGUGAAGUUGACCGCCUGGGGAGUACGGUCGCAAGAUUAAAACUCAAAGGAAUUGACGGGGUCAUAGCUGUUUCCU
rnacentral:rRNA from 1 species